GUGGGGAAUAUUGGACAAUGGGCGAAAGCCUGAUCCAGCCAUGCCGCGUGUGUGAAGAAGGUCUUCGGAUUGUAAAGCACUUUAAGUUGGGAGGAAGGGCAGUAAGUUAAUACCUUGCUGUUUUGACGUUACCGACAGAAUAAGCACCGGCUAACUUCGUGCCAGCAGCCGCGGUAAUACGAAGGGUGCAAGCGUUAAUCGGAAUUACUGGGCGUAAAGCGCGCGUAGGUGGUUUUGUAAGUUGGAGGUGAAAUCCCCGGGCUCAACCUGGGAACUGCCUCCGAAACUGCAUGACUAGAGUACGGUAGAGGGUAGUGGAAUUUCCUGUGUAGCGGUGAAAUGCGUAGAUAUAGGAAGGAACACCAGUGGCGAAGGCGACUACCUGGACUGAUACUGACACUGAGGUGCGAAAGCGUGGGGAGCAAACAGGAUUAGAAACCCGAGUAGUCC
rnacentral:rRNA from 1 species